UACGGGGGGAGCAAGCGUUGUUCGGAUUUACUGGGCGUAAAGCGCGUGUAGGCGGCCCGAUAAGUCCGCUGUGAAAGUCCAGGGCUCAACCCUGGGAUGCCGGUGGAUACUGUCGGGCUCGAGUCCGGAAGAGGCGAGUGGAAUUCCUGGUGUAGCGGUGAAAUGCGCAGAUAUCAGGAGGAACACCAAUGGCGAAGGCAGCUCGCUGGGACGUGACUGACGCUGAGACGCGAAAGCGUGGGGAGCAAACAGG
rnacentral:rRNA from 1 species